AACGAACGCUGGCGGCAUGCCUAACACAUGCAAGUCGAACGAGACCUUCGGGUCUAGUGGCGCACGGGUGCGUAACGCGUGGGAACCUGCCUUUAGGUUCGGAAUAACUCAGAGAAAUUUGAGCUAAUACCGGAUGAUGUCUUCGGACCAAAGAUUUAUCGCCUUUAGAUGGGCCCGCGUUGGAUUAGCUAGUUGGUGGGGUAAAGGCCUACCAAGGCGACGAUCCAUAGCUGGUCUGAGAGGCUGAUCAGCCACACUGGGACUGAGACACGGCCCAGACUCCUACGGGAGGCAGCAGUGGGGAAUAUUGGACAAUGGGCGAAAGCCUGAUCCAGCAAUGCCGCGUGAGUGAUGAAGGCCUUAGGGUUGUAAAGCUCUUUUACCCGAGAUGAUAAUGACAGUAUCGGAAGAAUAAGCUCCGGCUAACUCCGUG
rnacentral:rRNA from 1 species